UACGGGGGGAGCAAGCGUUGUUCGGAUUUACUGGGCGUAAAGGGCGCGUAGGCGGUAGCACAAGUCAGUUGUGAAAUCUCCGGGCUUAACUCGGAAAGGUCAACUGAUACUGUGCGACUAGAGUGCAGAAGGGGCAACUGGAAUUCUCGGUGUAGCGGUGAAAUGCGUAGAUAUCAGGAGGAACACCGGUGGCGAAGGCGGGUCUCUGGGCCGAAAUUGACGCUGAGGAGCGAAAGCGUGGGGAGCAAACAGG
rnacentral:rRNA from 1 species